rnacentral:tRNA from 1 species
GGUUGUGGCUUAGAGGUAGAGCACUUGCCUAGCAUGCGUGAGGCACUGGGUUAGAUCCCCAGCACCA